rnacentral:rRNA from 1 species
GACAGAGGGUGCAAACGUUGUUCGGAAUUACUGGGCGUAAAGUGUGCGCAGGCGGCAGAGCAAGUCGAGUGUGAAAGCCCCGGGCUUAACUUGGGAAUUGCGCUCGAAACUACUUUGCUGGAGUGUGGCAGAGGAAGGUGGAAUUCCACGUGUAGCGGUGAAAUGCGUAGAGAUGUGGAGGAACACCAAUGGCGAAGGCAGCCUUCUGGGCCAACACUGACGCUCAUGCACGAAAGCGUGGGGAGCAAACAGG